rnacentral:rRNA from 1 species
UACGUAGGCGGAAGAUUAAGUCAGUGGUGAAAUCCUGCAGCUUAACUGUAGAACUGUCAUUGAUACUGGUUUUCUUGAAUUUAGUUGAGGUAGGCGGAAUGUGUAAUGUAGCGGUGAAAUGCUUAGAUAUUACAUAGAACACCGAUUGCGAAGGCAGCUUACUAAACUAUGAUUGACGCUGAGGUACGAAAGCGUGGGGAGCGAACAGGAUUAGAUACCCUGGUAGUCC